rnacentral:lncRNA from 1 species
UUUCUCAUGCUCAUUUUGAAAUCUUAUUCCAUGUCGUUCUGUCAACUUCUUUCGAAAAUUAUUUUUGUCUUGCUUUAGGAUAUUUAAAAUAGAAUUUUUAUUUGCCAUCAUUAUCCUAUAGGGCAAUAUGAACUCAGUCGGAAGGAGUGACAAGAGGCCGAGGGAUGAUGAAGUACCCCAUUUCAUGGUGUUGGAUAAAGUUCCAAAGCUAUUGCGGAUAUGGUAUAACAAUAUGACUGACUAUGGACAGGGAGAAGUAUAUAAAC